UACGUAGGGGGCAAGCGUUGUCCGGAUUUAUUGAGCGUAAAGAGCGUGUAGGCGGCCAUGUAGGUCCGUUGUGAAAACUCGAGGCUCAACCUCGAGACGCCGAUGGAAACCAUGUGGCUAGAGUCCGGAAGAGGAGAGUGGAAUUCCUGGUGUAGCGGUGAAAUGCGCAGAUAUCAGGAAGAACACCCGUGGCUAAGGCGGCUCUCUAGUACGGUACUGACGCUGAGACGCGAAAGCGUGGGGAGCGAACAGG
rnacentral:rRNA from 1 species